GCUUUUUAACUGGGGGGGGAGGGGGGAUGACGUCAAAUCAUCAUGCCCCUUAUGACCUGGGCUACACACGUGCUACAAUGGUUGGUACAACGAGUUGCGAGUCGGUGACGGCGAGCUAAUCUCUUAAAGCCAAUCUCAGUUCGGAUUGUAGGCUGCAACUCGCCUACAUGAAGUCGGAAUCGCUAGUAAUCGCGGAUCAGCACGCCGCGGUGAAUACGUUCCCGGGCCUUGUACACACCGCCCGUCACACCACGAGAGUUUGUAACACCCGAAGUCGGUGAGGUAACCUUUUGGAGCCAGCCGCCUAAGGUGGACAGAUGAUGGGGUCUGUCGUGGCUCGCCCCUCCCGGG
rnacentral:rRNA from 1 species